CCUGCAGCAGAGGAAAGACAGAGCAAAAGUAAAAAUACAGAAGAGCGUCAAAAAACAGCCACUUCCAGCCUAGCUACCUUGAAAGAAACAACAAAAAAAGGGCAAAGAGAAAAUACAAGGUGAGGAGGGAGACGGACGGAGGCAGGUUUCUCUGAGGAGCCCGUCAGGAGGAGUAGAGGGCUGGGUGCAUGUGGAGCAGCACUUUACGUCACAUUUCCUACACACCGCUCUUAACAGUCCAUCUGACUUGUGGUCCAGCUGUCUCGCUGCAGCCUUCAGGAUUUCAGACAACUGUGUCCACUCACCCUGCUC